UACGAAGUCUCUGAGGUGCAAGCAGUA
rnacentral:piRNA from 1 species